rnacentral:rRNA from 1 species
GACGAACGCUGGCGGCGUGCCUAAUACAUGCAAGUAGAACGCUGAAGAGAGGAGCUUACUCUUCUUGGAUGAGUUGCGAACGGGUGAGUAACGCGUAGGUAACCUGCCUUGUAGCGGGGGAUAACUAUUGGAAACGAUAGCUAAUACCGCAUAACAAUGGAUGACACAUGUCAUUUAUUUGAAAGGGGCAAUUGCUCCACUACAAGAUGGACCUGCGUUGUAUUAGCUAGUAGGUGAGGUAAUGGCUCACCUAGGCGACGAUACAUAGCCGACCUGAGAGGGUGAUCGGCCACACUGGGACGGAGACACGGCCCAGACUCCUACGGGAGGCAGCAGUAGGGAAUCUUCGGCAAUGGGGGCAACCCUGACCGAGCAACGCCGCGUGAGUGAAGAAGGGUUUCGGAUCGUAAAGCUCGGUUGUAAGUCAAGAACGGGUGUGAGAGUGGAAAGUUCACACUGUGACGGUAGCUUACCAGAAAGGGACGGCUAACUACGUG